rnacentral:rRNA from 1 species
CCCUACGGGGGGCAGCAGUGGGGAAUAUUGCACAAUGGGGGAAACCCUGAUGCAGCGACGCCGCGUGAGCGAUGAAGUAUUUCGGUAUGUAAAACUCUAUCAGCAGGGAAGAAGAUGACGGUACCUGACUAAGAAGCCCCGGCUAACUACGUGCCAGCAGCCGCGGUAAUACGUAGGGGGCAAGCGUUAUCCGGAUUUACUGGGUGUAAAGGGAGCGUAGACGGCGGUGCAAGCCAGAUGUGAAAGCCCGGGGCUCAACCCCGGGACUGCAUUUGGAACUGUAUGGCUAGAGGGUCGGAGAGGCA